GCCGGUGUGGCCCAGUGGGUAGAGUGUUGGCCUGCGGACGGAAGGGUCCUGGGUUCGAUUCCCAGUCCAGGCA
rnacentral:tRNA from 1 species